rnacentral:lncRNA from 1 species
AUUCAUCACUGUAGGAAUUGGGUUCAAGCUUUUCCCAGCCCUUUCUUCCCAAGGAUCUCAGAUGAGGGACCCUUGGGAGAACCGUCAACUCAAACCACCAUCCAUGUACAAGAGGGAUGCCUCUUUUGAUGAAUGAAUGGAAAUAUUACCUUUUUGUGUAAAUCCUUUAGCAACAAGUCUAACUUUAUAUGUAAUACUUUUAUUUUCCCAUUCACCUUCUUUGAUCUUGUAAAUACACUUACAAUCAAUUAGUUUAUAGUCUUUAGGUCUUUCAACCAAUUCCCAAGUCUAUUUUUAAGGAGUUUUCGAUUUCAUCUUCAAUGGCAACUUUCUAGUUCUUAGCAUCUUUACAAUUAAUAGCAUCAUCACAGACUAAUUGUUCUUGAUAAAAUUUUAUUUCCUUCCAAUUCUCCAUCUUCCCUGCUUUUUCCAUCUCUCUAUCUCUCUGAUUUGGUAGAUUUCGAUUAAUUAUGUUUCAGAAAAUCUCCCAAAUAACAAUGAAUUCAUAUCAAAUUUACAUACAGCGCUAUUGAUUCUAUCAUUCUCUCUGGUCUGCAGUUUUCAUUUUUUCAGUUGUGGAAGGAUUUUGAAGCAUAUAAGUUUUGAAUCGGGAAAUCGGUGGAGAUUGUUUCUUCUUCACUACCUUAAAAAGGUAAUUUUUUUCCUUUUUUAGGUUCUUGAGUCUGAACGGUAGUUUCUGUGUAAUUUUUUGGCAGAUGGUAUAUCCAACCAGAAUCUGUCGUUUUGAUAUGUUGUGUGGUGUAUGAAAUUAUCUUUCUAGAUUUACAAAUUUCAUUCUUUUCUCAUUACAUACAGAGAUUUAAGUAAAUUUUUAAGCACUAAAAACGUUUUGUCCAGAGAGAUUCUUAUGGAUUUGUCCAAAAUCAAAUAUAUUCAAUUACUGCUCAACUUGGAUUUGUUUUGAACAACCUUAUUUAAAAGUACGCAUUUAACUCACCAUAGUUGUUUUAUUUGUUAUUAUGUUGGAGGAAUGAAGGAGCCUUAUUUACGGCUUGAUAAAUUUGUAUACCAGACAUUGAAUGAAUUAGACAGGACAAAUCCUUAAAUAGAGAAAUAUUGAUGGCAUUUAAAAUGACAAGUAAAUUUUGCUUCAGGGAAUUCUUGGGGACAGAUAGAGGUUUCAAAACUGUCAUUGGUGCUAUUAACUUCAAGAAAGACCGACGUAACAAUUCCAGAAAAUUUCGGGAGUGAUUGUUGCUGUUCUAAUCCUUUGGUUCAAUUCAAAGCUUGAAGCAUCUCUCAGUUCCUUUGGUGGUAAAACAACACAAGUUGUUCUGUUAGGUGCAGGUGAGUGCCAAAGCUCCUAACAUUUCAAUAUAGUAAAGAAGAUAUUUCUUUUCGCACGUGUUUAAUUAUCAAAUUUGCAUAAUAAAGAUGCCAUAAGGGAGCUUCAAACAUGAGUGCUUGGUUAUUCGCAACCAGCCUGAGUAUCUGCUAACACACAUGGCUCAUCUGUUUUGUGUUUGCCAAUGACAAGCUCAUAUGUGUGUAUGAUUGUGUAUAUAUGUAUAUAAAUAUCAGUGCACAUGGGGAGGGGGUGUGUGUUUAUAUAUGAAUGUAUAUGUACAUGUUUGUAUACAUAUUUGGUCUCUUAUGCACACAAUUAUAAUUUCUUUCAAUUGGUAGUAAAAUAAAAUAUUACUUUAAAGAUUGUUGAACUACUUAGUACUUUUUUGGGUUAAUGACAUCUUUAAAUAUUGGAUGUUAGUUUUGAAUUUUAUGGACAAUAUCACUUAUCCUCAAGUACAAUUUUAUAAUGAUUGAUGGGAAAACUUUGGAGUUGCAUAGAUCACGUGAGUUUACAUUAUGGUGAUUAAAGUGCUAUUCAUUUGGCAAAGAAUUAGUUUACGAUGCAUAAACAAAGUAGAACGAUGUUCGUUGUCACUUUGGGCGCGAAUUUAUUUAAGAAGAUAGAGACUGCUUAAAAUUCUGCAAAUAUGACGACUAAAGUGUUAAUGGAUGGGUUAAAACGGGCAAUUAGUUGUAUAAAUUUUGUAGCUACUAAUUUUUACUGUGACAACUUAGAAAAAUAAAUUUUAUAUAGAACCAAAUUUCCCAACAAUUACCAUCAUGGUUUACAAUUCUUUAUUAAUUCCAUUUCUUAAGAAAUUAGUUUAUGAUUAGCUGAAGUCCAAUUCUCAUAUUUUGAAGAGUCUCCAAGUGGAAUCUAGAAAAAUAAUUAAACAAAUAAAAUAAAAGCAACGGUGAUUAUUGAUUAAAAUUGUGUUAAUCGUGAUUAUAAUUUUUUUUAAUCAUGUAAGCGCGUUUCGGAUGUACCUUGGAUCUACAUGACAUGUCUUUGCCCAUAUCCAUAUAGUUUAGGAAAUGGUGGAAUUUAAAGAUUUAUUAUCUUAUAAGAAAUGAAUAAAUUGAGGAUUUUAUUACUGAACAAAAGGGGGGAAGACCAAUGAACAUAAGUAUUAAAAAACUUUUUGUAUUUAAAAUAACAACAUCUGUGAAUAUUUAGUCAAGUGAUAUUUUAGAAGUUUCAUUAGAUUUCGUCUUUGUUGUGUAGUGCUAAAUAUUGUUGAAUAUAAGAUUAAAAUGUCCCAUUUCAAAUAUAGGUAUACUCAUAUAUACUACUAGGAUAAUAUUUGGAUUUCCACAAAUUAUGGAUAAAGAAUUGGUGCGUCUUAACAGGUAAUUUGUACUUUGUCAUAUAAUUUACAUACUUUAUAUUUUAAGAUAAUAUCUUAGAACAUUGUCUUUUAAAAUUGUUAGGGCCUCACAGGAGUAUAUAAAAGCUUCAGAAAAUUUAGUCAUUACUGCUCAUCGUAAUUUAGGCAAACCAGAUAAAAUUUUAUGUCCUUGUAAAGGUUGUCAAAACUUAAGACAUCAAUAUGUAAAUAUCGUUCACGAGCAUCUGGUCACAAGAGAAAUCGAUCCGACUUACACAAAUUGGUUUCACCAUGGAGAAAGACUGAUUAGUAAUGUUGAUACUAUAAGUAAGAUUGAAAUACUCAACUUGUUUGAAGCAACACAUACGAAUGAAGAACAUAACAAGGAAGUUUUUGAAGAGAAUUUGGAUGAUGACAUUAGUCGAUUGGUAAUGGAUGCUGAAACUCCGUUGUAUCUAGGAAAUGAAAAAUACACGAAGCUAUCUUCAAUUGUGACCUUAUAUAAGCUUAAAACUACUAGUGGUUGGUCAGAUAAUAGCUUUACAGAACUUCUAAAUACAUUACAUGAUAUGUUACCUGAAGGUAAUGUAAUUCCUACAUCCACACUAUGUGUAAGAAAAUUUCUUAAGACAUUUGAUUUCGGAUAUGAGAAGAUUUAUGCAUGUAUCAAUGAUUGUUGUUUGUUUAGAAACAAUAAAAAUGAACUAGAUAGCUGUCCAAAAUGUGGUUCUUCGAGAUGGAAGGUCGAUAAGCAUACACGAAAGAAUAAAAAUGGUGUACCUGCUAAAGUCUUAAGAUACUUUCCUAUAAAACCUAGAUUCCAGAGGAUGUUUAGUACAUCGAAAAUGGAUGAAUCAUUAAUAUGGCAUUCAACCAAUCAGAGUGUUGAUGGUAAAAUGCGUCAUCCAGUAGAUUCUCCAUCUUGGGCUUUAAUUGAUAACAAGUGGCCAGAAUUUUCAAAUAAUCCACGCAAUCUUAGGCUUGGGCUUGCUACGGAUGGUUUCAAUCCAUUCAACAAUUUUAGCUCUACCUAUAGUUGUUGGCCAGUGAUGUUGGUUAUUUAUAAUCUACCACUAUGGUUAUGUAUGAAAAAAGAAAAUAUCAUGUUGUCAUUAUUAAUUCCAGGGCCUAAACAGCCUAGGAAUGAUAUUGAUAUAUAUUUGCAACCACUUAUAGAUUACUUGAGCGAAUUGUGGAAUAUUGGGAUGAAUGUGUAUAAUGCACACACUAAUGUAGUCUUUAACUUGAAAGCAAUACUUAUGUGGACUAUCAAUGAUUUCUCAGCUCUUGGAAAUUUAGCUGGAUGUAAAAUUAAGGGUAGGACAGGUUGCCCUGUAUGUUCUUAGAAUACUCAUUCACAGUGGUUAAAAUUCAGUAGAAAAUUUGCAUACAUGGGUCAUAGGAGAUUUUUGUCACCAUCUUAUCCGUUAAGGAAAAAGAAAUCUUGGUUUGAUGGACAUGAAGAAAAGGGAAGCAAACCUAAAAUUAUAUCUGCUAGCAACAUUCUGGUUACUCUUAAAGAUUAUGUCAACAAUUUUGGGAAAGCUCAAAAACGAAAAAGAAAGACAGAUGAUGGGAGCAUUCUAACAUGGAAAAAGAGUUCAAUCUUUUUUAACUUACCAUAUUGGGAGGUAAGAUUUUGGCAUUCUCCAACUUUUAUUCAAUUUUUUUUCAAUUAUCUGAAUAUACUUUUUGUAUGAAACUAACAAAAUCCUUUUUCUUUGUUACAUUAUUAGGUGCUACCAUUACGUUAUAAUUUGGAUGUAAUGCACAUUGAGAAAAAUAUAUGUGAAAGCAUUAUUGGUACAUUGUUAGAUAUAAAUGGUAAAAUAAAAGAUGGAUUAAAUGCUCGUAAGGAAUUACAAGACAUGGGAAUUAGGAAGGAGUUACAUCCAGAGGACUGAGGUAAUAGAAUAUACCUUCAUCCUACUCCACAUACGUUGUCAAGGUUAGAGAAACAAACAUUUUGUAAGAGGUUGUUUAACUUGAAAUUACCUUAUGGGUACAGUUCAAAUGUAGCCACUUAUAUAUCAGUAGAUGAAUGCAAAAUUAUUGGCCUCAAGUCACAUGAUUGUCAUGUCCUCAUGCAACAACUUUUGGCUGUAGCAUUAAGAGUAUUACUUCCAAAAUGACCAAGACAUGCAAUUUUUAGACUAUGUACAUUCUUCAAUAGAUUAUGCCAACGUGUUGUUGAUAGGGAGAAAAUAGCAAUAUUAGAAGAUGAAGUAGCUGAAACCUUAUGCAGUCUUGAAAGAUUCUUUCCUCCUGCAUUUUUUGAUAUCAUGAUACAUUUGGUGGUACAUUUGGGAAGAGAAGUACGAUUAUGUGGUCCAGUUCACUAUUGUUGGAUGUAUCCUUUUGAGAGGUGAGAAAUUCACUAUUACUUGGAUAAAUUUACCCACAUAAUUGCAUUCUUAGUACUAAUUUGUUUACUUUGUUUAAUUAUAGACAUAUGAAGAUAUUCAAAGGACAUGUGAGAAAUCGUGCAGAUCCGAAUGUUAUAUAGCUGAAUGUUAUCUUGCAGAUGAGUGCAUGAAUUUUUGUAUCGAGUUUAUGAAACAAGUAAGAGAAAUUGGUCAUCGAGAGGGGCGCAAUCAAGAUUAUGUUACCAAUGAAACUGAGGGACAUCCCAUUUCUGCUCCAAAUUUUAUUACACUAAGUAAUGAAAUGUUAGAGAUAGCACAUCGUUAUGUAUUAUUCAAUACAUCUUAUGUGGAACCUUAUUUGGAGUAAGUCAUCCAUUAUUCAUAUUAAUAAGUGUAGAACAUGUAUAUAAAUCUGUAAUCUCUGAUAACUUGCUUAUUAUUAGAAUGCAUAAAGAGGAGCUCAAGCGAAACAAUAGAAGCCUUGAAAAAAAUGAAAGCUUGCUUUGGAAAAUUCACACGGAGAAAUUUGCAGUUUGGUUAAAGGAAAAGGUUGUACAUAAUGUUAAAAAAUUCUUUUCUUCUCAUUAUGAUACUAUAUAUUUACAUCAUUGAUACAUGUCUAACUUUUUUCGCAGAUUAAUGUAAGUUCCACCAUAAGUGAAAUAUCAAAUGUUCUGAAAUGUUUGGCAUAUGGUCCUAAAAUGCAAGCAGUCUCCUACACUAGAUAUAUUAGCAAAGGACAAUGGUUCCACAUAAAAGAUGUUGAGAAAUUUACACAGACUAGUGGUGUAUCAAUUGAAGCGACAACCAUGUGUAGAGCUAGUGCAAAGGAUAAUGCAAAAUUUUAUGAUGUUGUUGCAUUUUAUAGAGUCAUUAGAGAAAUAAUUUCAUUAGAUUACCACAUAAUGAAGAUUCCACUCUUUAAGUGUGACUGGGCAAAUGUUGGUAAUGG